CUACGGGGUGCAGCAGUGGGGAAUAUUGCACAAUGGGCGAAAGCCUGAUGCAGCCAUGCCGCGUGAGUGAAGAAGGCCCUAGGGUUGUAAAACUCUUUCACUGGUGAAGAUAAUGACGGUAACCAGAGAAGAAGCCCCGGCCAACUCCGUGCCAGCAGCCGCGGUAAUACGGAGGGGGCUAGCGUUGUUCGGAAUCACUGGGCGUAAAGCGCGCGUAGGCGGGUCGGUUAGUUGGGGGUGAAAUCCCGGGGCUCAACCUCGGAACUGCCCUCAAUACUACCGGCCUCGAGUCCGGGAGAGGUGAAUGGAAUUCCUAGUGUAGAGGUGAAAUUCGUAGAUAUUAGGAAGAACACCAGUGGCGAAGGCGAUUCACUGGCCCGGUACUGACGCUGAGGUGCGAAAGCGUGGGGAGCAAACAGGAUUAGAUACCCUCGUAGUC
rnacentral:rRNA from 1 species